UGGCGGCCUUAGCGCGGUGGUCCCACCUGACCCCAUGCCGAACUCAGAAGUGAAACGCCGUAGCGCCGAUGGUAGUGCUGCCAGGCAUCAAAUUAAGCAGUAAGCCG
rnacentral:rRNA from 1 species